UCCGUCAGAGCUCAGCACUUCAGAC
rnacentral:misc_RNA from 1 species